rnacentral:rRNA from 1 species
GACGAACGCUGGCGGCGUGCUUAACACAUGCAAGUCGAACGGAAAGGCACUGCUUUUGUGGGGUGCUCGAGUGGCGAACGGGUGAGUAACACGUGAGUAACCUGCCCUUGACUUUGGGAUAACUUCAGGAAACUGGGGCUACUACCGGAUAGGAGCCCCUGCUGCAUGGUGGGGGUGGGAAAGUUUCGGCGGUUGGGGAUGGACGGGCGGCUUAUCAGUUUGUUGGUGGGGUAGUGGCUUACCAAGGCUUUGACGGGUAGCCGGCCUGAGUGGGUGACCGGCCACAUUGGGACUGAGGGACGGCCCAGACUCCUACGGGAGGCAGCAGGGGGGAAUAUUGCACAAUGGGCGGAAGCCUGAUGCAGCAACGCCGCGUGCGGGAUGACGGCCUUCGGGUUGUAAACCGCAUUCGCCUGUGACGAAGCGGGAGUGACGGUAAUGGGUAAAGAAGCACCGGCUAACUACGUG